CGUCGUGCUCAACCAGGGACGUCACGGGGAAGUGUGUGCACCCAGAGAACGACGCACCGUGUAAAUUUGCUUCCGAAUAUGUAUGUAUGUGUGUCGGUCCAUUGAAAGUAGAGUCUCGCAAAUAUCCUCACUGCAGAACAUGUUCUUUCUGUCUGUGAUCUCGUUAGAGGAAACAUGUGCGCGUCGUGUGGAGUAAAUCGUAAAUAAAAGUACAGAAAAUUACACGUAUUACAAACACGAAAAAGUAGUACGGUGCGGUUAUUAGAAAAUUAGUACGAUAACGAAUUGUUAAAAGAACAUAAAUAGUGUGAACUGAACUAAACAACAAACACAACAAAGAAAAGGUCCGAGAGGGCCUUUUCUUAUUUUAUCGGCUAAUUAUCCAGCUGAAAACACACGGCAACAUCUAAAAACAACCAAGAAACCCAGACAGAAAACCCGAAACAUAACCUUGCUCAAGGUUAUCAGUAAAAACCAUCCGGUUGAAUCAGGCCCGCAACAUAACCUUGCCGUUUUGAGGUUACGGACGAAAACCAUCCGGUGGUACAAGGCUCCUCCGACUGCACAAGUCCGGAAUCACAACCAGCAAGCAUCGGGUGCUUCCGGGACGCCGGAAGACGCCUGUUGUGAAUCCGGGUUUGCCGUUUGGAACAACAACAUCUAUGUGUCCGUCUGAUUGUCCACCGAUCGUGCGGUCUGUAGCAGCUCCAGUUAAGUCCCGUGUCAAACAAUAACAUUAACC